rnacentral:lncRNA from 10 species
CUCCCACGGCUUCACCUGUGUCUCUGCUCCUCUGGCCCAUUCACGGAUGGGAAGAGAUGCCCUGAGCUCCUGCCCAUGGGGGAUUCCCAACUGACACUGUUCCCUGUCGCCUCCCCAGGUCAUCAGUACCUGCAUAAAAGAGACUGGGUCUUUUUCCUCCUGGAGUUUUCCCAAGUUUUGGUGGUAGGAGGCUGUAGGUGGAGUUGACCUCAGAGUGUUCUGAUGGGGACCUCAAGUGAGAGAUGGCAGACCUGUCCAGCCCCUCUCCAUCAAGAGAAGGAAGAACCCUCCCGAGGAGGCAGCCUGGGUGGUGCUGGGAUUUGGCCAAGACACUCCAUCUGCUGGAAAGGCAACGGAAAGCUUCGAACCACUUUCUUUUGGCUUGUGAACUCACCGGCUAAUUGACAAAUGUGCGUCCUGUGCAUGAGCUGCGAAGAUUUUCCAUGAUCAGCAGAGCCCAGUGAUAUCUGGGGUUCACCAAGAGCUGUGGGGCCCUUUGUGUCUAGAAACUUCUGGCCAUUGUCAGCAGAGAGGCCCCUGGUCGCUGUUCAGGGUCCUGCUCACUGGCAACCCAUGACAUACUGAGAGUCAUCAUUGUCCAAUGCUGAGCACAUAGUGAGUCCUCAAGAAAUAGUUCUUGAAUGAAUGAGUGAGUGAGUGAGUGAAAGAACAAGAGAAUAAAAGAACAAAAUGAGACCAUAUGCUUUUUACACCAAGUUGUAAGUUCAAUCCCUAACUGUGCCAAAAAGUUUUAAUUCUUUCCAGAAUUAAGGCCAUGCCAUGUGGUCCUAUGAGGGCCUUCUCUGAUUGUUUGUUUAUCAGCGAAUAUUUAUUGGGCUCCUACUAAGGGCAGGUUCUGAGCUCUAGCUGGACGCACCAGCCCAGCCAUCGGAUGGUGGGAAACCGUCUCUAAGCGCUGGAAGCUUAUCAGCGUGGGUGGGGACAGCAUCCCUGGCUGUGAGGAAGGGCAGCCCAUUUCUUUCUUUCUUUCUUUCUUUCUUCCUUCCUU